AUUGAACGCUGGCGGCAUGCUUUACACAUGCAAGUCGAACGGUAACAGGUUAAGCUGACGAGUGGCGAACGGGUGAGUAAUGCAUCGGAACGUGCCCGGUCGUGGGGGAUAACACUUCGAAAGAAGUGCCAAUACCGCAUACGAUCUAAGGAUGAAAGCGGGGGACCGUAAGGCCUCGCGCGAUCGGAGCGGCCGAUGUCAGAUUAGGUAGUUGGUGGGGUAAAGGCCCACCAAGCCGACGAUCUGUAGCUGGUCUGAGAGGACGACCAGCCACACUGGGACUGAGACACGGCCCAGACUCCUACGGGAGGCAGCAGUGGGGAAUUUUGGACAAUGGGCGCAAGCCUGAUCCAGCCAUGCCGCGUGCGGGAAGAAGGCCUUCGGGUUGUAAACCGCUUUUGUCAGGGAAGAAAUCUUUUGAGUUAAUACCUCGGAAGGAUGACGGUACCUGAAGAAUAAGCACCGGCUAACUACGUGCCAGCAGCCGCCGUAA
rnacentral:rRNA from 1 species